rnacentral:lncRNA from 1 species
GAACCCGGUGAACCGCCUGAGUGGGACAGAGCCAGCGAUGACAGCCAGGCCAAGGCAAGCUGGAACAUUCUUGUGCAGUGACAGCUUGAGCCAUCGCAGCAGAGGCAGGCCAUCCAACUCCGGCCCCCAGCAGAACAGGUGUCUGCAGAGCAGGUUUUGGGCAAACUUCAAAGAACUUCACAAUUUUACAGUUUCUGAUUUACAAUCACAUAUAGUUGUGGGUAAUUCUACCUAGAAUCAGCAAAUUAGAAAGCCUGAAGCAUCAAUGGAUGGAGAAAGUGCUUGUCUUCUAUCCCUAGGCAUCAGAGGUCUGGAAGAGAGCAUGCAUCUUCCCAAGGAAAGAAUAAGCAACAUGUACCACGGAUGAAGCAAGGGAGGCUGAAUGCUGAGCAAUACACAUAGAGAGAGACAUGUCUCCUGAAAGUUGUCUAUGAAAGACCGAAAGAAAGAGAAGGAAGGGCAUUUCCUCACUGGAUCAGAAGCUCCUGAAGGGCAAGGACUGUCUCAUUCAUCACUAACUCCAGCAUCUA